rnacentral:rRNA from 1 species
GAUGAACGCUGACAGAAUGCUUAACACAUGCAAGUCAACUUGAAUUUGGGUUUUUAACUUAGGUUUGGGUGGCGGACGGGUGAGUAACGCGUAAAGAACUUGCCUCACAGCUAGGGACAACAUUUGGAAACGAAUGCUAAUACCUAAUAUUAUGAUAAUAGGGCAUCCUAUAAUUAUGAAAGCUAUAAGCGCUGUGAGAGAGCUUUGCGUCCCAUUAGCUAGUUGGAGAGGUAACGGCUCACCAAGGCGAUGAUGGGUAGCCGGCCUGAGAGGGUGAUCGGCCACAAGGGGACUGAGACACGGCCCUUACUCCUACGGGAGGCAGCAGUGGGGAAUAUUGGACAAUGGACCAAGAGUCUGAUCCAGCAAUUCUGUGUGCACGAUGAAGUUUUUCGGAAUGUAAAGUGCUUUCAGUUGGGAAGAAAGAAAUGACGGUUCCAACAGAAGAAGUGACGGCGAAAUACGUGCCAGCAGCCGCGGUAAUACGUAUGUCACGAGCGUUAUCCGGAUUUAUUGGGCGUAAAGCGCGUCUAGGUGGUUAUGUAAGUCUGAUGUGAAAAUGCAGGGCUCAACUCUGUAUUGCGUUGGUAACUGUAUAACUAGAUUCUGGAGAGGUAUGUGGGAACUACAUGUGUAGAUGUGAUAUUCUUAGAUAUUUGUAUGAAUGCUCUAUGGUGAAGCCAGCUUACUGGACAUAUACUGUCUCUGAUGCGCGAAAUCGUGUGUAGCCUAACAGAUUAAAAUACCAUGUCAUCCUGAUGGCGGAUUCCACUUUUGAUUAUUGCUUAGCGUUGCGGUCACCUCUAUGGUGUGCCGGUUGAUGUUUUAGAUCAUAUGUAAUCUGAUUUGUUGUCUUGCCUUACUGCAUCUCUGCACUAUCCCUGCCUUGUUGCUUCUAUUACUAUAUUCCUGUCCUGUGUCUUAUCCGUUCUCUCCUCUGUUAUUUGAUUUUUCUUCUUCUGUAUGUUCUGUGAUUUCCUGUCUUCACACUUAUGCCCCUGCUCUUGAUGUUGUUAUGUGUGUUU